rnacentral:rRNA from 1 species
ACACCGUAAACGAUGGAUACUAGGUGUAGGAGGUAUCGACCCCUUCUGUGCCGGAGUUAACACAAUAAGUAUCCCACCUGGGGAGUACGACCGCAAGGUUGAAACUCAAAGGAAUUGACGGGGGCCCGCACAAGCAGUGGAGUAUGUGGUUUAAUUCGAAGCAACGCGAAGAACCUUACCAGGGCUUGACAUCCCACGCAUAUCUAAGAGAUUAGAGAAAUCCUUCGGGACGUGGAGACAGGUGGUGCAUGGUUGUCGUCAGCUCGUGUCGUGAGAUGUUGGGUUAAGUCCCGCAACGAGCGCAACCCUUAUUGCCAGUUGCCAUCAUUCAGUUGGGCACUCUGGCGAGACUGCCGGUGACAAAUCGGAGGAAGGUGGGGAUGACGUCAAAUCAUCAUGCCCCUUAUGUCCUGGGCUACACACGUACUACAAUGGCCGAUAACAAAGUGAAGCAAAACCGCGAGGUGGAGCAAAUCACAAAACUCGGUCCCAGUUCAGAUUGUAGGCUGCAACCCGCCUAUAUGAAGUCGGAAUUGCUAGUAAUCGCGGAUCAGCAUGCCGCGGUGAAUACGUUCCCGGGCCUUGUACACACCGCCCGUCACACCAUGAGAGUCGAUAACACCCGAAGUCUGUAGUCUAACCGCAAGGAGGACGCAGCCGAAGGUGGGAUUGAUAAUUAGGGUG